UACGUAGGGACCAAGCGUUGUUCGGAUUUACUGGGCGUAAAGGGCGCGUAGGCGGCGUGGUAAGUCACUUGUGAAAUCUCUGAGCUUAACUCAGAACGGCCAAGUGAUACUGCUGUGCUAGAGUGCAGAAGGGGCAAUCGGAAUUCUUGGUGUAGCGGUGAAAUGCGUAGAUAUCUGGAGGAACACCGGUGGCGAAGGCGGCAUCCUGGACCGACACUGACGCUGAGGAGCGAAAGCCAGGGGAGCAAACGGG
rnacentral:rRNA from 1 species